UUUUUUUUUUUUUUUUUUUCCAAAUAAUGCGUGUCCUGUAUUUUUAUGAGUACCUUUUGUCUUAACACAUUUAAAAAAAAUUUAAGCAGUAAGAAAUAUUAUUUCUGCUUUGGUUGAACUGACUUUGAUAUUUUUUUUUUUUAACACUUCAAUCAAUGCUGAGCCAUACUUCAGUAACUAUUCCUCCGAUCGACUGCUUUGAAAUUCAGAGCUUGAGUAUGAAUCUUCUGUCCCCAAAAAACCCAAAGGCACGGCUAACCUACAAUAUUAACAUUAAAAAAAAUUACUAAAUACAAUAUAAUGAAAAAAUAAUUUUUUUUUGUGAUACUGACAGGGAAAUGUUUGGCAUUAGUAUGAGUGAACAAUCGGUAGCGCCGACUUUGAAUUGUGGUCGGUUCUCGCAAGUAUAUUUCCGUCUAUACGGCCGAGUGAACUUGCGGUGUUCGUCAGUUUCAGGUGGUUCGCCGUGUGAGCCGUGCAUACUUGAGGCGUGCGACACACGUUCCAUGUUGUGUCGCGGACACGGCACGCCCGCAGAAGAAUGAUGAGCACACACACUGGUUCAUGUCAUUUUAGUAAGAUUGAUUCUGAUGUGAAGAGACGUUUGCUGCUUUGGGGCUGGAACAUUGGUAGUCUUUAGGGAUGUACGAAUCCUUGAUUUUCAGUUCGGUUUGAAUCUGAUUCGAAUCUCUGGCAAUAUUUGAGAUAUGAAUCUGAUUCUGAAUACUAAGCACAGAAUAAUUAAAAAUAACUGAUUAAUUUAAAAAUAAUGUGUGUGCUCUUUUUUCUAACUGUAACUACUGGCAAUUAUUUAUUACACUGAGGUAUGUAAUUGUUUUUAGUUUAUAGUUUGCUAUACAACGAAAUUCGUUAUUAUAGUUUAAGCUCACGAAAUCUCGAAAUUCUUUUAAUGUCACUGUGUUAAUUAUUCAAUUUACAUAUCUUUCUUUGAUACAUCAUAUUAUAAAUACUUACGUAAUAGUAGUCUAAUUUUAUUUUUCACUGCUAGUAUUUUUGAGCCGUAUUAAAUUAAUUUAUAACUUUUGUGAAUAUUCGUAAUACUGUUUGAAUCCAUGUACAUACGACGAUUCCGGGUUCGGGUUCGAAAAUAUCGGGUACUCGCACAUCCCUAGUAGUCUUUCAGUGUGAUUAUGUAAAGGAAAUGUGACAGGAAUAUUUAGAGCAAGCAACUGAUUAAGUUGUUAUCACUCGGUGACAUCGAAAAAGGGACUGCUAAAUUAUUUUCUAAUGAUGAAAUGCAAGGCUGAGAGAUUUAUUUUUUUUAACUUUUAUUUUACAGUACCCCCCCCCCCCCCCCCUCCUCCCAAACCUUCAUCACACAGCGACAUCACUUGAAUGUCCAGACAACUCUUCUAGAGGAGUACAACUUUCAGCAGAGAAGGACCAUAAGGUGCAGCAGCGGUGGUGGCGCUUACGGAGACGACGACGUUCACCGGGCGGGCCAUGGCACGCAACAGUCUCGCUCGGCUCCGGACACUGGGGGUUCCUGUGCGUGGCCCACAGCCUGCUCUUGCCAGCGACGAGACGGGAUUUAUAUUUCCGGUUGGCUCUCGCACGGGCUGAGGCUGAGUCUGCUCUACGGGGGCAGCUACGAGAGUGUCUCAAGGUACGACCUUGUGCUGGGAAAUUGUCUCGACUAGCCAUUUCGAUCACGACCUUGUGCUGGCGGGAAAACCCUGCCACAUUAACACCUCCGUGCAAGACACCGUGUGGCGCGGUGGUUGCGGAGACACUCGUCGCUUCUUCGUAGGAGCAGCCGGGAAGGCACCUCAACAUAGUUUCGAAGAACAAUAUAUUAAGGUAUAAAUAAUUGAAAAUGUGACUACUUCUGUAUAUCAACGCACCUGACAGAUCAAAAAGUCCUAUAGAACAACCUGCAUGUCACUGAAAUGAUUAUCUGAAAACCCAUAAAUUAAAAUAUGGGUAUUGACCAUUUGUAUUCCCCUCACACCUUCAGGCUGAUAUUCAAAUAACACACUUCAAUUCAAUAAAAACAUAUAUUUCUUGCAAAAAUAAUUGUGCUACAU